AACGAACGCUGGCGGCAUGCCUAACACAUGCAAGUCGAACGAAGCCUUCGGGCUUAGUGGCGCACGGGUGCGUAACGCGUGGGAAUCUGCCCUUGGGUUCGGAAUAACAGUUAGAAAUGACUGCUAAUACCGGAUGAUGCCUUCGGACCAAAGAUUUAUCGCCCAAGGAUGAGCCCGCGUAGGAUUAGGUAGUUGGUGGGGUAAUGGCCCACCAAGCCGACGAUCCUUAGCUGGUCUGAGAGGAUGAUCAGCCACACUGGGACUGAGACACGGCCCAGACUCCUACGGGAGGCAGCAGUGGGGAAUAUUGGACAAUUGGCGAAAGCCUGAUCCAGCAAUGCCGCGUGAGUGAUGAAGGCCUUAGGGUUGUAAAGCUCUUUUACCAGGGAUGAUAAUGACAGUACCCGGAGAAUAAGCUCCGGCUAACUCCGUGCCAGCCGCCGCCGUAACAC
rnacentral:rRNA from 1 species